rnacentral:lncRNA from 1 species
GCAGCAGGACCAGAAACUCCGUCAGCAGCAGGGCCAGAAACUCCGUCAGCAGCAGCACCAACACCACCAUCAACUACCUCUGGUUAUUCGAGUAACUUUCAGGCUGCUUCAAAUCCAUUCCAGAGUACGUCCGGACCUGCAACUGAGUCUCCGGUUGCUCCAGCAGCGUCAAGCUCCAGCGCUCCAACAUCCCAGAGUCCGGCGGCUCCAAGCCCGUUUCAGAGUGCCCCGGUAACUAGUGCUCCGGAAACUCAAAGCUCGUUCUCACAGACGCCACCUCCGCCAAGCGCUCCACAAACUCCAAGCCCGUUCCAAUCACCUCCAGCAACUCCAGGUCCGUUCCAAACACCUCCGGCAACUUCAAGUCCGUUCCAAACACCUCCGGCAACUCCAGGCCCGUUCUCAAGUCCUCCGGCAUCUCGAAGCCCGUUCCAGAGCUCUCCGGCAAUGUCAAGCUCGUUCCCGGGCACUCCAGCGGCUCCUCCAAGUCCGUUUCAGAGCACUCCAGCGCCGCCAAAUACGACUACUCCACCGGCCUUCCAAAGCGCACCGUUCCAGAGCCCACCAGCGUCUCCACCAAGUGGAAGCCAGUUCCAGAGCCCACCACCACCAAGUGAGUUUCAGAAAGCCCCGCCUCCUUUUGGCACGCCAACACCGUCACCAUCGGCUGGAAGUCCAUUCCAACGCGCUCCACCAAGUCCGUUCCAGAGCGCUCCGCCACCACCAUCGUCUGGAAGUCCCGCUCCACCAUCACCUGGAAGUCCCUUCCAAAACGCUCCACCAUCACCCGGGAGUCUGCCACCGCCCGGAAGUCCAUUCCAAAGCGCUUCACCACCACCAUCGCCGCCUCACUUCCAGCGUAGUCCAUACAGCCAGGGAGGAUACCAGCAAAGCUCUCCACCGCCACCUUA